CAGAACACGGCCCUGCCACCAUCCCAGCAGCUGACAGCGAGCAGGGACAGCGGCAGCCACCAUCCGUGGCAACAGGGACCUGUCACCAUCCCUGGGCACAUGCCUGCAGUUCCCUGGCACUGCAAGGGGCUUCAUCCCUGCAGGAAGCCAGACCUGCUGCCAACACAAGGACUCAUUUUGCCUAGCAUGCCAUGCCCAGGCAUGGCUCUCCAAGCUGCCACGGCCCUGCACUCUGCUGGGCCCACCGGCAACACCUAUCCAGCACUGACCCAUUGAGAGACUCCACCCAGCCUCAUUCUGCCCCUCCAGCCCAGCACUGCUCUUAACUGAGUUUAAAGUUUUCCCACACCCCAUGAAUACCAAUGAACAAAUAACCAGAGCACAAGAGCUGAGGAGCUGUCAGCAGGUAAAGGGCUGGUGAACCCCUGUGGGACAUCACUCUGCCAGUUUGUUCCAAAGGGGAGGAGGAAGGGCCUCAUGAGUCCCCAUCCCACUUCUCCACCUCCAGCAUCCCCAGUACAAGGACUUUACAAGGCCAAGGGGGCUCGAGGGUCUCUGCCUGCUUUCUCAGGGACCCCUGCACUUGCUGGGCUGCUGUGAGAGCAGCACAACCUGACCUCGAACACCCCAUGUGUGACGAGGACUGCAUGGAGACAUGCCCCCAGGGGAGCCACAGGGACUGCAGGACUCCAGCUCCCUACAGAGACUUCAUGUGACACAAGUAAACACC